CCUAACACAUGCAAGUCGAACGGUAACAGGAAGAAGCUUCGCUUCUUUGCUGACGAGUGGCGGACGGGUGAGUAAUGUCUGGGAAACUGCCUGAUGGAGGGGGAUAACUACUGGAAACGGUAGCUAAUACCGCAUAACGUCGCAAAACCAAAGAGGGGGACCUUCGGGCCUCUUGCCAUCGGAUGUGCCCAGAUGGGAUUAGCUAGUAGGUGGGGUAACGGCUCACCUAGGCGACGAUCCCUAGCUGGUCUGAGAGGAUGACCAGCCACACUGGAACUGAGACACGGUCCAGACUCCUACGGGAGGCAGCAGUGGGGAAUAUUGCACAAUGGGCGCAAGCCUGAUGCAGCCAUGCCGCGUGUAUGAAGAAGGCCUUCG
rnacentral:rRNA from 1 species